AUUAAAACACUGGUUCCCAUAUGAUCACUGAAGUUAAGCAAUGUUGAGCCUGGUCAGUACCUACAUGGAUGAUCGCUUGGGAAUACCAGAUGCUGUAA